rnacentral:misc_RNA from 1 species
GAUGAAGAACGUAGCGAAAUGCGAAAAGUAAUGUGAAUUGCAGAAUUCAGUGAACCAUCGAAUCUUUGAACGCACAUUGCGCCCGCUGGAACUCCGGCGGGCACGCCUGUCCGAGCGUCAUUUCAACCCUCAGGCCCCCCUUCGCGGGCGGGCCUGGUGUUGGGGCCCGGCCGCUACCCUGCGGCCGUCCCCUAAAUCCAGUGGCGGCCUCGCCGUGAUCCCUUGCGUAGUAAUGCACCUCGCACCGGAGAGCGCCGUGGCCACGCCGUAAAACCCCCAAUUUUCAAUGGUUGACCUCGGAUCAGGUGGGAAUACCCGCUGAACUUAAGCAUAUCAAUAAGCGGAGGA